UGGGGAAUCUUGGACAAUGGGCGCAAGCCUGAUCCAGCCAUGCCGCGUGAGUGAUGAAGGCCCUAGGGUCGUAAAGCUCUUUCGCCUGUGAAGAUAAUGACGGUAGCAGGUAAAGAAACCCCGGCUAACUCCGUGCCAGCAGCCGCGGUAAUACGGAGGGGGUUAGCGUUGUUCGGAAUUACUGGGCGUAAAGCGCGCGUAGGCGGACUAUUAAGUCAGAGGUGAAAUCCCGGGGCUCAACCCCGGAACUGCCUUUGAUACUGGUAGUCUUGAGUUCGAGAGAGGUAAGUGGAAUUCCGAGUGUAGAGGUGAAAUUCGUAGAUAUUCGGAGGAACACCAGUGGCGAAGGCGGCUUACUGGCUCGAUACUGACGCUGAGGUGCGAAAGUGUGGGGAGCAAACAGG
rnacentral:rRNA from 1 species